rnacentral:rRNA from 1 species
GNNGACGCUGGCGGCAUGCCUAANACAUGCAAGUCGAACGGAGUUUCACUCCUGCGGCGGACUUCGGUCCAAAGCUUAGUGAAACUUAGUGGCGAACGGGUGAGUAACAGGUAGACAACUUGCCUCAACGACUGGGAUAACACUGGGAAACUGGUGCUAAUACCGGAUAGGAUAUAGAUUCGCAUGAAUUUAUAUUUAAAGAUGGGUUAAACCAUCACGAUGAGAGAGGUCUGCUUCGUAUUAGCUAGUUGGUAGGGUAAUGGCCUACCAAGGCAAUGAUGCGUAGCCGAGCUGAGAGGCUGAUCGGCCACACUGGAACUGAGACACGGUCCAGACUCCUACGGGAGGCAGCAGUUAGGGAUAUUCGGCAAUGGACGAAAGUCUGACCGAGCAAUGCCGCGUGAAUGAAGAAGUAUUUCGAUAUGUAAAGUUCUGUUGUAAGGGAAGAAUGGUUGUGAUAGGAAAUGAUCACAAUUUGACGGUACCUUACCAGAAAGCCCCGGCUAACUACGUGCCAGCAGCCGCGGUAAUACGUAGGGGGCGAGCGUUAUCCGGAAUUAUUGGGCGUAAAGGGUGCGUAGGCGGCCUUAUAAGUCUGAGUUGAAAGCCCACGGCUUAACCGUGGAGGGUGCUCGGAAACUGUAAGGCUUGAAUCCAGAAGAGGCAAGUAGAAUUCUAUGUGGAGCGGUGGAAUGCGUAGAUAUAUGGAGGAAUACCAGUGGCGAAGGCGGCUUGCUGGUCUGGGAUUGACGCUGAGGCACGAAAGCGUGGGGAGCAAACAGGAUUAGAUACCCUGGUAGUCC